AUAUAUCAAAAAUAUUGUUGAAGUUAAAAUCUCAAUGACCAUAUAAACAAGAAGCAAAUAUAGUUAAUGUCAAAACAAAGUAGACUAUUCUUUUUCUUAAUUGAUACAUAAAAAGAUAUUUCCAAGAGCAAACAAGCACUAUUAUUAGUGCAGGGUACAUCAAAUACACCAGGUUUGUCAAAUCCUGAAAACAGUCAACAAUAGUGACAACAACCAAACAAAAAAUAAACAAAUUGGAAAGAAUAAUAUAUUGUCAUGAGAUAGGUGACAUGAAUUCUUGAGGAAUAAAGAAGGAAAGAAAGAAAAGAGAACUGACUUGAUUAGAAAGUGUGGGGUUAGCAAAUAAGGAUAAGUUCUUCAGCAAAAUAAGGCAGGUAUGGUUUAAAUCCAUAAAGGGUGACCUAAUACACGAGUCUCCCAACCGGGGUCUGGAUUGGGCAAGAUGUACACUCAACCUUGUAGCUAGUGCUACCUAGAUCCAUGGGCAAUAGGGUGGAUUUAGGUUAGCAAUGGAACCAACUGCAAGUAAUCACAAAGAUCCAGGUGAAAGUUACCAGUUGUUUGAUUCAUCAAGGCAGCAAUAAGGGUGAAUGUGCUCACUUUGACAUGAAGCAUAAUGACUACAAAGGGAUGCCACAACACACCUUACAUAAACAGUAACAGAGAGAAUAAUAAUAGGGAUGAUUACUUAUCAAAGAGAAAAGAAAAAUAAAAUAACAGGGAUUAUUGCCUAUAUAAAGAGAAACUUAUACUAGAUAAGGUCUGAAUAUUUUUCACAUGCAAAAUAUAAAAACAGAAAAUCUAACUGAUAAAUUUAACUAAAUCAAAAAAAGAAGAAAAUAAGUCUUGCUUCCCCAUAUCCAAAAUAAAAAGAAAAACCUCAGCCAUGUGACAAGUUGUGCGUUGGAAA